ACUCCUACGGGAGGCAGCAGUGGGGAAUUUUGGACAAUGGGGGCAACCCUGAUCCAGCAAUGCCGCGUGAGUGAAGAAGGCCUUCGGGUUGUAAAGCUCUUUUGUCAGGGAAGAAACAGCAGCUCUAACACAGUCUGCGAAUGACGGUACCUGAAGAAUAAGCACCGGCUAACUACGUGCCAGCAGCCGCGGUAAUAC
rnacentral:rRNA from 1 species